AAGUCGUAACAAGGUAACCGUAGGUGAACCUGCGGUUGGAUCAUUAAAUUGAAAAAGAGAGAGAAGAAAUUCUCUUGAUUUUUAAACAUUUAGAGAUAAUUGAAUGUUUUUUUUGUGGAGAGAAAAGAAAAGAAAUUGUCUUUUUUUUUCCACAAAUUUAAAUAAACCAUUUUUAAUAUUAUUAUUAUUAUUAUAAAAUAAAAUAAAAACAACUUUUGACAACGGAUCUCUUGGCUCUC
rnacentral:misc_RNA from 1 species